ensembl:lncRNA
AAAAUGAAUAAAAUCGCUUAAAAAUAGAAUAUAAAUAAUGUUUGUUUUAAAUUAAUGUAAUAAUAAUAAUAUUGUGUAUUUCUUAACAGACCCGUUUUUUCUUUGUUUCACGGUCUCUAGGUCACGUGGCAGCAAACGUUAAUGCGUCAGAUGUCUCAUGGUGUUACUUUAUUCGACAAUUUUAUUUAUUCUUUGUUUAAUAAACAACCCAAAAAUCACCAACGAAGAAACAAAUCAACACAUCCUUUAAAACCAAGAGUUUCUUUUUAAAUUAGGAAAUAAAUGUUAAAUGUUUAAACAAAGUGUUACUUUGAAGAAAAAAAGAAAAAGAAUCGAAUCUGAAAGAAAGGUGGGCGGGACUGUUCAUUUCCGGAGUUUUUGAAGAACUGGAAAAGAUUACAAACGUGUACGUCUUUACCUGAGUAGCAUCGAUAGAGUAACUGGCACUUUUUAAAUUUUAUUUAAUUAUUUGAAUCGAAUAAGAAAAUGCCAGAUUGGAUUUAAAAUGUGACCUUCAACAGCAGUGAAACGAGGAUAAGCCAAUAGCUGUUGGACCUUUUGCAAAAUUAUCCACACCUGACACCGCGCUAUGAAGUCUGGGAUAUGUUGGGCCACGAAGUCUACACCGACUCAUCCUUACAAUUCAGGGAAAUGAAGGACUCAGUUGAAGGCCACACAGAAAGACCCGAUGGUGGAAUUGAACUCAAGACCUUCUUGCUGUGCAGCAACAGUGCCAACCACCGUGCUGCCCAGUUAGAAAGCACACUCAUAGAAACAAAGUGCUUGUAUGAAUGACACAAAGUUGUAUAAAGUGCUUAGUGUCCAGAUGGCGUAGAGACGCACUACAUGAGAACUAGUGCAUUGACCAUUUUCAGUAGGGAUGGGUAUUGAUAAGAUUUUCACGAUUACGAUUCCAUUUUUGA